GAUGAACGCUGGCGGCGUGCCUAAUACAUGCAAGUCGAGCGAACAGACGAGGAGCUUGCUCCUCUGACGUUAGCGGCGGACGGGUGAGUAACACGUGGAUAACCUACCUAUAAGACUGGGAUAACUUCGGGAAACCGGAGCUAAUACCGGAUAAUAUAUUGAACCGCAUGGUUCAAUAGUGAAAGACGGUUUUGCUGUCACUUAUAGAUGGAUCCGCGCCGCAUUAGCUAGUUGGUAAGGUAACGGCUUACCAAGGCAACGAUGCGUAGCCGACCUGCGAGGGUGAUCGGCCACACUGGAACUGAGACACGGUCCAGACUCCUACGGGAGGCAGCAGUAGGGAAUCUUCCGCAAUGGGCGAAAGCCUGACGGAGCAACGCCGCGUGAGUGAUGAAGGUCUUCGGAUCGUAAAACUCUGUUAUUAGGGAAGAACAAAUGUGUAAGUAACUAUGCACGUCCUGACGGUACCUAAUCAGAAAGCCACGGCUAACUACGUG
rnacentral:rRNA from 1 species